rnacentral:rRNA from 1 species
GACGAACGCUGGCGGCGUGCCUAAUACAUGCAAGUUGAGCGCUGAAGGUUGGUACUUGUACCAACUGGAUGAGCAGCGAACGGGUGAGUAACGCGUGGGGAAUCUGCCUUUGAGCGGGGGACAACAUUUGGAAACGAAUGCUAAUACCGCAUAAAAACUUUAAACACAAGAUUUAAGUAUGAAAGAUGCAAUUGCAACACUCAAAGAUGAUCCCGCGUUGUAUUAGCUAGUUGGUGAGGUAAAGGCUCACCAAGGCGAUGAUACAUAGCCGACCUGAGAGGGUGAUCGGCCACAUUGGGACUGAGACACGGCCCAAACUCCUACGGGAGGCAGCAGUAGGGAAUCUUCGGCAAUGGACGAAAGUCUGACCGAGCAACGCCGCGUGAGUGAAGAAGGUUUUCGGAUCGUAAAACUCUGUUGGUAGAGAAGAACGUUGGUGAGAGUGGAAAGCUCAUCAAGUGACGGUAACUACCCAGAAAGGGACGGCUAACUACGUG